UAUGGGGAAGAGCAACAGGGAUUGCCCCAGUAACGGCGAGUGAAGCGGCAACAGCUCAAAUUUGAAAUCUGGCCCCCGGGUCCGAGUUGUAAUUUGUAGAGGAUGCUUUUGGCGAGGUGCCUUCCGAGUUCCCUGGAACGGGACGCCAUAGAGGGUGAGAGCCCCGUCUGGUCGGACACCGAGCCUCUGUAAAGCUCCUUCGACGAGUCGAGUAGUUUGGGAAUGCUGCUCAAAAUGGGAGGUAUAUGUCUUCUAAAGCUAAAUAUUGGCCAGAGACCGAUAGCGCACAAGUAGAGUGAUCGAAAGAUGAAAAGCACUUUGAAAAGAGGGUUAAAAAGUACGUGAAAUUGUUGAAAGGGAAGCGCCUAUGACCAGACUUGGGCCCGGUGAAUCACCCAGCGUUCUCGCUGGUGCACUUCGCCGGGCACAGGCCAGCAUCAGUUUGGCGCGGGGGAGAAAGGCUUCGGGAAUGUGGCUCCCCCGGGAGUGUUAUAGCCCGUUGCGCAAUACCCUGCGCUGGACUGAGGUACGCGCAUUCGCAAGGAUGCUGGCGUAAUGGUCAUCAGCGACCCGUCUUGAAACACGGACCAAGGAGUCGUCUUCGUAUGCGAGUGUUCGGGUGUCAAACCCCUACGCGUAAUGAAAGUGAACGCAGGUGAGAGCUUCGGCGCAUCAUCGACCGAUCCUGAUGUUCUCGGAUGGAUUUGAGUAAGAGCAUACGGGGCCGGACCCGAAAGAAGGUGAACUAUGCCUGUAUAGGGUGAAGCCAGAGGAAACUCUGGUGGAGGCUCGCAGCGGUUCUGACGUGCGAAUCGAUCGUCAAAUAUGGGCAUGGGGGCGAAAGACUAAUCGAACCUUCUAGUAGCUGGUUCCGCGGUUUUUCUCUCUCCCCACAGAGGA
rnacentral:rRNA from 1 species